GAUGAACGCUGGCGGCGUGCCUAAUACAUGCAAGUCGAGCGAACAGACGAGGAGCUUGCUCCUUUGACGUUAGCGGCGGACGGGUGAGUAACACGUGGGUAACCUACCUAUAAGACUGGGAUAAAUUCGGGAAACCGGAGCUAAUACCGGAUAAUAUUUCGAACCGCAUGGUUCGAUAGUGAAAGAUGGCUCUGCUAUCACUUAUAGAUGGACCUGCGCCGUAUUAGCUAGUUGGUAAGGUAACGGCUUACCAAGGCAACGAUACGUAGCCGACCUGAGAGGGUGAUCGGCCACACUGGAACUGAGACACGGUCCAGACUCCUACGGGAGGCAGCAGUAGGGAAUCUUCCGCAAUGGGCGAAAGCCUGACGGAGCAACGCCGCGUGAGUGAUGAAGGUCUUCGGAUCGUAAAACUCUGUUAUUAGGGAAGAACAAACGUGUAAGUAACUGUGCACGUCUUGACGGUACCUAAUCAGAAAGCCACGGCUAACUACGUG
rnacentral:rRNA from 1 species